AAACGCGGUGUUCGCUGCUGAACGCAUCUUUGGUUGCUCAGACCACUUACAUACGUUUUCUGUGGUUCGCAGGGUGUAAAGAAUUCCCCUUUGGCUGAAAAAGCAAAACCCAUGGGAGGUUUUCACGCUGCAGACAACGACGCACGGUGCCGCUGUGGAACAACGGCCUGUUCAUGUGAGGGCGGGCGCUCAGACGCCUCCCUGGCCAGCUGGCAUGCGACGACACGGUAUGCAGCGUCGGAAAAAGCAGCAGUUUAUGACGUACGCUAGGACGUAACGCAUUUUGGUGCUCACGUGACGACUGUGUUCACGGGACGUGUCAGGGUAUCGUGGUAUCACAUACGGGGCUGCGGCCUACAGUUGGAGGCUCAAGCGCGGUCCGAGACAAGCCCUUGUGUACCCUCGCACUGUCAGGAGGGCAAGCUAGACGCUGAUGGUGCACGUCCCCAACGGCCCUUGGCUAUUGCAGGCACUCAAGCUGGAUACACGAGCACUGAAGAACAGUAUUCGGGAGCAUGCAAAGGACCGGGGAGUCAUAGCAACUGCACUAUUUUCGAACAGGAACACUUUAGGUGUGCAAGCUAGCAAGGCGUCGCGAGCAGUGUAGCAAAGUUGCGGGGACUUUAGACGCAGAGCGGCCUUGCGGAAGCUGAAGGAACAUGAAUUGAUCCUUGCGUAGGGAAACAAUAACAGUGGUUUGCGUUGUAAGUUCAUUCAGCGGCGCACAGCCUAGAGGCCCCAAGGCCUCCAGACGGGAGCUGCGGGCGCUCCGUAUUGCCAUUUGACAGCAAGGAACCAGCUCUCCCAGAAGGGCAGAGUCCGUUCCGAGUGCUGCGCUCAGACCGACUCUCGGGAAGCUUGACCGGAUGCCUGAAGUUCCCCGGCGACAAACUUGGUACGAAAGUAUUCGUCGGCGCACACGAAAGCAAAGCGGCGAACAGAGGCACCCGACUGUUGGAUAGAGACGUCGUUUGUGCACCUGCGAGCCGGCAGGCAGGCAGGCAGGAAGGAAGGAAGGAAGAUAGGUAGGCAGGUAAGUUUCACUUGUCCGUGGCAAGGCCGGGAAGCGACGUGUUUCGAUACGCUUAUGCUGUAUAUUUUAGCGGAAGGUCGCCAGAACCGGUCGAUUUUCCAGCAAAAGUGAGUCAUAUUGCGCUUCAGAGAACGUGUCGCCAACUCGGAAUAUUUAUACAGUGUCCGCUUGCCCAGAUUCUGGUGUGCAUAGUCGACUGGGAUGUAACUCUCGGCGUUGAAAGCAUGCUCGCGACUUUCAGGCAGCAGCAGCAGCAGCAGCAGCAGAUGGAGCACAUGUCGUACUCGAGGCAAUGACGCAUACUCGGAUUCCCGUUCGAGUUCGCGUCUAGUCAACGAUCAUGUAUCCGUUUUAGACGAAUCAGAUCAAGCGUACUGCAACCGGCUUAUUCAUGGUCGUCAAAGGGCCUUGCAUCGAUUCGAAGAAUGCCUCGCACUCGUUCGGAAAUAAUGCGCGAAAUCUGGUACAGAACAUCAUCAGAGCUGCUGUAUCGAAGGUAAAGAACGCCGCGUUCAACGCGCUCUAGCUCAAAAACAGCCUCUUGUGCGAAAAGCGAUGGCCGCAACUCAUCGAGAACGACCUCGCACGACUCGAGUAGUUUUUUGUUGUUCUGCUCCCAGAGCGUGGAUUCGGUAACCGGGACGAGCUCGAUGUUUCGAACGCGUUCCUCGCCAAAGUACUUGCGUAAAGCAAU